CAUUUUACCUGGUGCUGACGUUGCGCUCUUGUUUCCAAACCCCAAAGCACGAGAAAACCGUAUAGCGGCGUUGCCCUAAACCCUUCGCGUUUUGCAGGAAAGACGCCGACCGGAGAGGAGAAUAUACAUAUGGGCAGCCACCACCACGGCAACCGUGCUACCAGUAGCAAUGGAGGAGCACCCCUCGUCGACAAGGACGUUGAUUUCGCUCAAUAUUUCUGCACCUAUUCCUUUCUCUAUCACCAGAAAGAGAUGCUUUCCGAUCGAGUCCGCAUGGACGCUUAUUAUAAUGCCAUUUUUCAAAACAAACACCACUUCCAUGGAAAGGUGGUGUUGGAUGUAGGGACAGGGAGUGGUAUACUUGCAAUAUGGUCGGCACAAGCAGGUGCAAGGAAAGUCUAUGCAGUGGAAGCAACUAAGAUGGCUGAGCAUGCCCGGACUCUGGUCAAAGAUAAUAACCUGCAAGAUGUGGUUGAAGUGAUUGAGGGUUCCAUGGAGGAUAUCACUUUGCCUGAGAAAGUUGAUGUAAUCAUCUCAGAAUGGAUGGGUUACUUCCUUCUCCGCGAAUCUAUGUUUGAUUCAGUUAUAUGUGCUCGUGACCGCUGGCUCAAGCCAAGUGGAGUCAUGUAUCCAAGCCAUGCCCGCAUGUGGAUUGCACCUGUUAGGUCUGGAUUGGUAGAUCAAAAAAAGGGUGAUUGUGAUGGAGCAAUGGAUGAUUGGUACAAUUUUGUGGAAGACACCAAAACUUACUAUGGUGUUGAUAUGAGUAUUUUAACUAAGCCUUUCAAUGAAGAGCAAAGAAAAUAUUAUCUGCAGACAGCAAUGUGGCAAAACCUUCAUCCGCAUCAAGUUAUAGGGGUAGCAGCCAUCAUCAAGGAAAUUGAUUGUUUAACAGCUUCUGUUAAUGAUGUCCUUGAGGUCAGAUCGAACUUUUUAUCUUCGAUCACUAUGGAAAACACUAGACUGUGUGGAUUUGGUGGAUGGUUUGAUGUUCAUUUUCGAGGAAGAAGAGAUGAUCCGGCUCAGCAAGAGAUUGAAUUGACAACUAUGCCUAGUGUGGAUAAUGGCACACAUUGGGGCCAGCAGGUUUUCCUCUUGCACCCUCCUAUUCGCGUCAGUGAAGGGGAUAAUUUGAAUAUAUCCUUUUUGAUGAGUCGUUCAAAGGAAAAUCAUAGAUUGAUGGAGGUUGAGAUUGGCUGUGAGAUCAUACAAUCUUCUGGCCGAUCACUUCCACCACUCCAAAAUAAGUUCUAUAUUGAGUGAGGAAGGAAAUAGCUGACAUUUUGGAAGUUCUAUCAUGAACGAAGGUCAAAGUGUCUGCUUAGGGGGCUAGCUAGGGAGGAUCUGCAGGUUGUGUUUUUCAGUGCUAACUGCACUCUCAGAUAGCAGUUAAAUGACACCCACAGAUAUCUGAGCAACUGAGCAGCAUUUUUGGUGCUAGUUUUGGCUUGUUUUUGCUGCUGUGUUCCUACAUUUAUUUGAAAUGAUAAAUUUUCAUGUGUAACUCAAGUUCGUAUUAUUACAGUUGGUAUAAAAAUUGUUCUUUUUUCCCCUUACCAACCAUUGCUUCGCCACUGGGGAGAGGGAGGGGGGAAAAAGAUUUUAUGAUUGACCUGCAACAGUUUUUGGGUCAAAACAUCUUAGAGAACAAAGAAAUGAUACAUGAUGCCUUGUUUCAGCUGUGAUUAUAUAGCUGAAUUUAUAUCAUAUUCUUUACAUAUAUGUUGUAUCAAACAUGUAGAACUGUGUUUCUUCCUAUAAUUAUUGAGGAUUGUUUGUGUUCUAA